rnacentral:sRNA from 1 species
UCUGAACUACACAGAA